UACGGGGGGGGCAAGCGUUAUUCGGAAUUACUGGGCGUAAAGCGCACGUAGGCGGCUUUGUAAGUUAGAGGUGAAAGCCUGGAGCUCAACUCCAGAAUUGCCUUUAAGACUGCAUCGCUUGAAUCCAGGAGAGGUGAGUGGAAUUCCGAGUGUAGAGGUGAAAUUCGUAGAUAUUCGGAAGAACACCAGUGGCGAAGGCGGCUCACUGGACUGGUAUUGACGCUGAGGUGCGAAAGCGUGGGGAGCAAACAGGG
rnacentral:rRNA from 1 species